rnacentral:rRNA from 1 species
UGCCAGCAGCCGCGGUAAUACGGAGGGGGCUAGCGUUGUUCGGAAUUACUGGGCGUAAAGCGCACGUAGGCGGACUAUUAAGUCGGGGGUGAAAUCCCGGGGCUUAACUCCGGAACUGCUCUUAAAACUGUGGAGCUAGAGACAAUCAGAGGUGAGUGGAAUUCCGAGUGUAGAGGUGAAAUUCGUAGAUAUUCGGAGGAACACCAGUGGCGAAGGCGGCUCACUGGCUCGAUACUGACGCUGAGGUGCGAAAGUGUGGGGAGCAAACAGGAUUAGAUA